rnacentral:tRNA from 1 species
CGGUCGUAGCCGGUUGCGCCGUACCGGCCUGUCACGCCGGAGGUCGCGGGUUCGAGUCCCGUCGCUCCCGU